rnacentral:lncRNA from 1 species
CGUCGCCACCGCGCUCCUGCCAAGCCGACUUGGAGCGGAAGCUGAAGCCGAAGCCCCCAGCCAGAGGGUCGUCGCCACUCAGCGGGGGAUCGUCGUCGUCGUCCCUGCGCCAGCGGCUGGCCAGGCGCUGCUGCUUCUGCGGGGUCACCGACCCCCCGGGUUUCUUGGUGGAGCCGCGGGCCGAACCCCCCGGGGCGUGGGGGUAGCCAUUGGCUCGGGAGUCGGCCUCGCCCCACGCGGAGCGGUGUUCCGCGCCUCCCCGGGACGCCGGCGCCGUAGCUGUCUGCGCCGCGUAGCCCGGGGGGCUUACGCUUUUGGAGCUGGACAUCCCCCCCUCGGCCUCGUCGUCUUCUUCCUCCUCCCCCCCCGGGGGCCGGGCCGGGGGUCUCCAAGGGGAGGGCGGACGGCCGAGCAGGGGGACCAGGCUGGGGUCACACGACGGGGGCGGCCCUGGGCCCUGGGCAGUAGCUGGGCAUCUUGGCACCCCCGUGCUGAACGGAGAAGGAGGGCAGCGGGAGAGAGAGUGGGAGGCAGUUACAGCCCCGAGGUGAGAAGUGGCUGAGAAUCCGCGUCAGGAGUCCCAGGUCCGAGAUGGAGUUGGCUCCAAGCUGGGGCAGCGGGGACUGCUCGAGAUGCUGCGCCGCGCGCAGAGGGACGUCCGGACUCCUGGCUCGCGUCGAGCUCGACAAGGACCGGAGUUGCGGACGAGGCGGGACGGCGAGGUGUCCUUGCGGGCGGCGCCUCCCCGGAGCUGGCAAUGCCCGGGCGCGGCGCUCGCAGAUUCUGCCUAAGCGGAGCCCAGCGGCACACGAGGCGAGGCAGCUAGGGCGGCUCGGCAGGGGUCCCGGCGUGGAAACCAAGCGGGCACCCUUUCCUCACGGCAGACUGGGAGCGACUGGGAGGCUGCAACACCAAGGCCUUUGCAGUCGUGGCGCAGCUGCAGCUGAGCAGAGCAAGAAUGGCAGAAAGACCCACCUGAAUCCAAGAUACCCAGCAAACCUAAUCACCACCUGAGCUGCCUCGCCGUGUCCUCUCUGCUGGCUCCUUGUUCUCCUCUCAGGAGUUAUUUCCCCUGCAUGCUGUUAUUACCAUUUAAAAUACCACGUAACUACCCCAGAAUUACUAAUGAUCACUCCAACUGUAUUCUGAGACACAUCUACAGAGCCUCCUGCCCAACACUUCCCAUCAUCAAAAGCUCUCCAACUCUGGGUCAGGGUGAAAAAACCCAUAGAAACAACAUUACUUGUGGCAUUUUAAAUGAGUUCAGGAUGCCGCCGACACCAGGGUCAUGUUACUUCUGGUAUUGUGGUUAAAUGAUCAAUAAAUGGCAGCCCAGGAAUUCCUGUUGUGGCUCA